CUGGCGGCAUGCUUUACACAUGCAAGUCGAACGGUAACAGGUCUUCGGAUGCUGACGAGUGGCGAACGGGUGAGUAAUACAUCGGAACGUGCCUGGUAGUGGGGGAUAACUACUCGAAAGAGUAGCUAAUACCGCAUGAGAUCUACGGAUGAAAGCAGGGGACCUUCGGGCCUUGUGCUACCAGAGCGGCUGAUGGCAGAUUAGGUAGUUGGUGGGGUAAAGGCUUACCAAGCCUGCGAUCUGUAGCUGGUCUGAGAGGACGACCAGCCACACUGGGACUGAGACACGGCCCAGACUCCUACGGGAGGCAGC
rnacentral:rRNA from 1 species